rnacentral:snRNA from 1 species
GUACUCCCUUCAGUAGCAUAAAACAUAAUCUUGAACCGAUGCAGAAAAGAAUAGCAUAACCCCCAGGCAAGGAAGACAUGCAAAUCUAACAAUUAAGUUCUACUAGUUCUU